ensembl:lncRNA
GUUGAGUGUUUGCCUUAUAAACAAUUCUAAGUUACAUAAAGCAUUUGCAAUUUCUCUGUACUGUGGCAGCACUGUGAUAAACAUGCAGUUCUUGGUAAGUCACGGGAUACUGUGUUUGCUCUGAGAUGGCCUGCACUUUCCAUUUCAGAAAAUCGUUUGUUGGCAUUUGGAAUGAAUGCAGAGCACUAAUUCAUACCAGGAAAGUACUGAAUUUAGUUACUUAGUGAGAGGACACCUUGUAGCUCUUACUUAUGUGCAAACCCAUACAAAGAAAAGUGCUUUUCAAUAUUUUUUUUCAUAUUUUAGCUUUGUCCUUGGAUUGCAAGGGAAUGGAGAAAUGAGGUGUCUUCACAGAUCUUUCUUAUGUGACCAAGUGGCAGAAAAUGCUGCAGAAAUCUACUUCAGACAGUUAAGUAUUCAGGUUACUGAAAGCUGUGUUUACUAUUUUUAUAUCUAUGGUUGUGAGCUAAGUAUUUUUUUUUUUUUUUUUUUUUUUGCCUGUUCACAUCCUUGCUGCCUGCAGAGCUUCCCAGUUGCUAGGCUGUGUUUAAUAUAUUAUUUUCCCAUUGAGACACCUAUGCUCCCUGUCACAUCUCUGUUGUCUCUUUUCAGUACUGUAUGAGCCCCAUCUCUGGCUUCUCUAAAUGUUAAAGACCUCUCUUCCAGUUAUUUAUACAGUAUUUAAAAUACGUCCCUUAGUAAUCUUGACUUCAUCAGCCUGACCCCUCUGAACCACCAUUCGCCCUUGGUUCAUCAAAUCAGGUUCAGCCUUCUUGCCUUUAGCUUAGGACAUUUUAAUUCUUUUUUUCUGCAUAAUGUCUGUUUCUGUCUCCUAUAUUGAGAUUUAUUAAAAUUAUUUAGCCAUUUUAAGAUGAAACCGUAUGUCUAGUUGAGUGUUCAAAAUCAGUGACUACCUAAUUCCCCCUGAGACUAACACUCAUUCAUUCUCCUCAUUAACUUAGCAAGAGGACUUAGAGUCCAGCAUUGCAGAUUGUCUCCAGGCUUUCAUGCCUGAACUUCUCUUUCACUGUUGGGGGCAUAGAUCCUUCCUCUUCUGAGGACAAAGAAAUUUGGUGUCAUCCAGUCUGUGGAGAAAGUUUGCUGCAACUUGGAAUGCUGUUCUACCAAACAAUUCCUUUCUUCCAUCUGCGACACAAUUUUUUAGGGUUUUCCGAUUAAUCCAAAUACUGAAGAUAUUAUAAAGCCACAGAAACUGCUUUAGGCCAAAGAUGGCAAUUACAGCUAAGAGCUAGAGCUAACUGAAAGGCUUCCUAUUUUUUAACAUUUUUCUGUGGCUUUUAAGAUCUUUUUGUGUCACUCUGGAAUGAAAACCAAGUGCACAAAGACUUUUGGCAAAAAUGGGACUUUGCAAAAUGUUCAUCUUUGGCUCCAGAAACCGUUUUUCUUCUACUCUCAUCUUCUAGGAAGCCUAUUGUAGAGCUUAGAAAUAAUCCUGUCAGAACUUCAUCAAAGCCAGUAUUUGUUUUCAAAAUGUUCUAGUUUUGGCAUAAUAUUAGUUGGAGAAGAAAGUAUUUAAUCCAAAAUUUUCUGACUAGUUCCAUAAAUGUCAUUACAUUAAUUAGGUACAUAAGUAACAGUAGCUGAAUUAGCUAUGUUUACACAUGUCUAGUCAUCUGAAAGAAUAUGAAGUCAGACAGGACUCAAGGGUUGGCUCAGUAAGUGUCAUAAAUUUUAGUAACCCCUGAUCUUGAUGCUCAGUAGAACACAUCUGUGAACAAAACUAAUUGAAACAUCAAGAAAAAGUCAAAACAAAUGAAAAGCAUUAGCAAAAAAAAAAAAAACAAAAAAAAAAACAAAAAACAUUUUUAUUAAUUUAGAGUAAUAUGUUAGGGUGAGUGGCAAAUUAAAUCGCUAUCCAAGUCCUGACACAGUUUUUUAUUUGAAACUAUAAUGUGAUUAUUGAUCAAAUGAAUUAAUUCUAUUUUGAUGGUAAUAUUAGCUUUUAAGUAACACAUAAACCUAAAAAUAGUUUAAUACAAGGCUUUCAGGGUCAUCAUCCUCCAAUAUUACUGUAAUCAGGAAUAGUUCCAAUGAAUAUAAUUAUGUUGUAUUCAUGAUACGAUAAAGGCUAUAUAAUUGAAAUCAAAUUUAGAGUUUUUUAAGGUUUUUAUUCAUUAUCUGAUUAGCCUACUACCUCAUAUGAAAGUAGUCAAGUCUUCUGAAUCUUACUCAUGCUGAGUGAAGACAUAUCUGGAUAUCGUGGAUAUUUCUGAGCCAGUUACUAUCGUACUCAUAUACAGUUUCUUCUGUAGUUUCUUUCUGGUUUUGUGUGUGUGCAUGUGCAUUUAUUUCAUAUGACUAAGAACCUCUAUCUAUCUGAAGAAUUGCAGGCUUUGGUUGCUAUUUCUCUACGGAAUGACUGGGAUGGUAUAUGAUGGUGCUUUGCAAAAGGAGCAGAAAUAAGUUAGCUUGAUGAAAUUUGUAGGAGAUGGCAGCAUCUGCUAACUCCAAACUCAGUCCUUGUGUUUGCUUUCGGUUCUUUUGAAACUAGUUUCUUGUGAUGUAUUUUAAAAUACAUAUUGUAGUACAGUUUUUCUCUAAAGCAUGCACUAUCAGAGAAUCACCUCUGAUGUAGAGUUGUCUUUUCAGACUUGCGGAACACAUUUCUUGUUUCUUAGAAUCUUUUAAAAUGUUGGUGUCUAGUACGACCCAAUGCACUGAAAUAUCUUGUAUAUAAUGCUAUUUUCUAAUGAACCGUGAUUCUCUGGUUCUGUCAAGAGUCGUGCUCAUAUUAGUAAAGGCUAAAGAGAGUACCAUUAUGUGUCUAGCAGAGAUAGUCCUUAACAGACUUGUCAAGUCUUAAGCAGUGUGCAUAAAAGAUGAAGCAUCUUGUUACAUCUGAUACCUCCAACUCAAGUGCUCCUAGGAAGUCACUGCCUUCCUCCCUUCUCCAGGACCAUGCAGGCCAGACAUGGCUUCUCACAUCACUCAUGGAGGGCUGGCUCCUUUGCUGCAGUCAUCUGCCAAACUCUUGUUACACUGAGAACCUCACAUCAGAUUAAAAGUUUCAUAGAGAUAUUCAGACAUCAGUCACUCACACCACAUCUCCUGCCCCCACAGCAAUACAACUGUAACCCCCCAAGAACUCUACAGAAUUUGACUUUGUAUAGAAAUUAAUAUUGAUUAGGUAGCACAACUGAAAAAACUUUCUAAAGUGUGCAGUAACAUAUAAAUUAGAAUUCUGUCCCUCCACCAUGUUCUGAACUAACCAUUUUCUGUUGAGAGUGAAGCCUGAAUGGAAUUAGCACUCACAACACUAUGCAGAGCAUAGUUUCAGAUUAAUUUAUAUGAUAUGAUGAUGAAAAUAAAGAAGACACCGACCAAAGUCUUCAGAAAUCCUAUGUUGAAAUAAGGAAAUACCUUUCCAUUUUAAUAAUUGUUGAUAUGGUCAGUGUCAGCUUUUUUAUACAGUAAAGGUAUGAAAGUCUGUGUUGUGUGAUUAGACAUUAAGCACAUUCAUUGAGGGACGAUUUCAUGGAGUCCCUGAUAUCAGUGGAGCAGUGGCAGCUGUUGGGCUUAACUUGGCCCAGGUUUAAGUACUUUUUUAAUUUGAAUAUGUUGGAGUCUAAAGUAGGAAUGAUCAUUCUUACUUUUCUUAUUCAUUCCAUUUUAUAGGGGCUUAAGAAACUAGGGGAAUCAGGCCCUUUGUGUAAUACAUAUCGUCUUACAUGAUUUCCAAUGAAGGAUAUUUUCAAGUAGGAGCUUAAGCUUAAAAAAAAAAAAAAAAAGAUUAACUUAAUUACUCUUGAGAUAUGGUAGAAUUCCAGUUGGCCACCUGAAUAAACAUACAAUUUUAUCAUUUUUUUCAGUGUUUCUGUGCUGCAGGAGUACAAAAGUACAGAUGCAUCUCAUGAGUAUAUAAUAAAGAGAAAAUAAGCUACCAUACCCUUUUCAAAAGAACUAAUCAAGUACUAAAAGGAAAAUUAAUGCAAAUAAAAUAUUGAUUAAGAACUAAAAGGAUUUUAAUUAUAUUACUUUCAGAAAUAAUUUAAUUUAACCCAAACAGACAACUAAGAGCAGAUAUUUCGCCUUAGCAUUUUUCAGAUUGCUAAUUAAAAUUUCUAGGAGGAAAUUCAAGUUUAGUGACUGGAUUUUAAAGAUAAAUAAUGCUUGCUUCUUUUCAUAAUAGUUUUAUAAAGGUUUACAUAGUGCCAAAAUAUAAUACUGCAUGCACAUUUUUUUUAAAAACAAUCAGAUAACCUGGAUGCUCCAUACAACCACUGGGGGUAUCGAGCACUCUUACAUUAAGAAAACUUGAAAAUUAAGUGUGUUAAGGUUAAAUAUCUGUCAUAUGUUUUUUAUGUAGAUUUAUAUCUACAUUGUUUAUGAAAUUCUUUGGAGAUAAUUGCUUUUUGGUAAGAUAAAGGCAAUUAUAGUGAUAGAGCACUCUUUGUGCUUCCAUUGCCACUGAGUAGCAAUUUUACUAUUUAUCUGAAAAGAGAUGUAUCUGAUUCUUUAUUCUCUGCCAUAAUGACUUGAUCCAAAAUCCAGUGAAGUAAAUGGAAAUUGCUCAUCACUCUAUAAUUUUGUAUAGCAUUUGGCUUUCAAUGCCACUGCCUACUUUACAUUGUAUUAUUUAUAAGACUGCUGAUCGCUUACAUAUACACCACGAAAUGGAAUGGGAAUGCAGUAAUACAGAGGCACAACAUUUGGAAGCUUUCUACAAAGAAUCUUUUACAACUACAAAUUCUUCACAGAGUAUUAAGGCAAACUGCUCAGAAUUUAAUUAAGCUCCUUUCAUCUUCUUUAGAUGCAGAGUGCUAAAUUAAAGAGAAAAAGAUGAUACUGAGCUACCUGUCCAAACACUUUAGGCAAAAAAAGGUAUAAUUAACAGUCCUUAACAUUAGAUUAGGGAGCAGUAUCAGAAAAUCCCCUUUAUGCCAAGACAGAGGGCUAGAACAUGCCAUGGGGACAUAACAAGAUUCAGAACCACUCUAAAGAAAAUUGUUACACAGAAGAAUCACGUGUCCCAUUAACCAGUGCUCCCUCUCUUGGGCCACUGUAUGUACACAUCAUAAAGCAUGUGACAUACAACUUCUAUGCAAUUUGAAACAUUUCCUAAAAAUUAUGCAAUGCAUGUCUGUGCUACUAGUCUCACUUUGUUAGUCUGCUCACUAGUCUCACUGGUCUCAAUUUUGAAAUUUUGAUUCAGUUAUAUCCAACUUUUCAACCAACUUGACAAGAGGAUUGAGGGGGUCUCAAAAUAUGAAAAUCAGAAGAGAUAGAAAAUCCCACAGAGCCCCUAAUAAUCUGCAGCACACUUUCGUGAGUUGCUAAGUAAUAGGUAAUCUAUAAAACGCAGCAAUGUUGCAACACCAGUCUAUGCAAAGCUUUGGUUUGGUCUCACUUCAUAACACUAGAAACUUGGAAGCACAUAUCUGAGGAAACCAGGCUUCACUACACUGUUGCUUAUGGAAGUAAUUCCUUUUAAGAGAUGAAUAGUAAUUUACACAUUAUUGGAUUAUCUAAUCAACAUAAAAAUGAUUUUACUUGAACACAGGGAAGCUUAGGAGUUUGUCCUCUCCAUAGGCUUUGUCAGAGAUGUAUUAUUGUGCUUGAUGGACUUGAACUGAUAGGGUUGCUUCUCUGUUCCUUUGGCUUAGUCAUGAACAAACAAAAACUAAUUUUGGCCACUCAGCAUUCUGUGAACCAUACAAUCCUCUGCACAUGAUACUUCUGCAAGAGUAAGCUUUAAAAACGAAACUCUUGUUCUCCGUAGGCACUAGAGAUGCAAAUUUGGUGGGACAGAAUCUGAAGGCUAUCUGUCUUCUCAGUUACCCUUUCUGCAACGUAAUAUUUCCUUUGCACUUUGAAGUGGUUGUAUUUAAGCUCAGUUGUGUACGUACAAAAUGAUCUCUGACGAUGAAAGGUAAUAUGAAACGAAAGAAAGACUUUGCAACAUGAAAGGCAUGAAAGAGGAAGAGAAGUAAAGGAGAUGCACUGUUGUUCACCAUUAAUCAUUUCAGCUGGCUACACCUACGUUAAAAAUGCAUGUGCAUGUAUUUACACAACACACAAACAUGCAACGAUGCAAACAGUACACUGCAUGUUUGUUAUGUACAUUGAGUGCAUGUGCGGCUACAACAGAAGUAAAUGAGAAUGAUGCUGAAACAUGAGGUGUAAGCUAAAGGGAACGUUUGAACGGCUGGAUGUUCAGCGAUGUAUGGAGCUGACAUUUGCAAAUCUAAGUUAUAUAUUCUGUUUUCAUUUCUCGACCCUGUCAGCUAAGCAAUCCUUCCACGAGACAGGAAGAAGGAAGAAGGGACAUAAUCCUGAGAGAGCCGAAUGAAUAUAUAUGUUUGCAAUUUCCCUUGAAAUCUGCACAGAAAAUAGGAGUCAACCAUAAAUUCAAAUAAAUCACUGCAAAGACUCACUGACAGUUGCAAGCUGCUUCACCGUACAUAUUCAUUCGUGGCCCUGAGCCAAGCAGAUUCUUUCCAUGCACCUAACGCAGCAAUUACAGAGUCUGGUAAAACUGAGACAGAAAUUGAAAACAGGUUAUUCAUAAAGAAACAAGACGAACCUGCCAGAAUCCUGCUGAUCUAUCAAGCUAAAGAAAAUACUGGACAUCAGCUGCCUCUUAUAGAAAUUCUUCUCUAGUCUGUGGUAAAAAAAGUUGUCUCCCUUUGUUCUAUUUAUAAGCAAAGGAAUCUUUUCAUUUAUUUAUUAAUUUCCUGAUUAUUCUGUAUUUUUCUAUCAUUCUCAGAGAACUUCCCCUUUCAGCCUCAGUUGGGUUGCAGUUUUCCAAAAGUGCCCCUUUUGGUGUCCUGUUGGCAGCUUCCCUGUUCUAUCCUACCUCUAAGUACUCUUGGUGCCCCACCCCUGCACCAUUUCUUAUACUCUGUUAACCUAUCUCCCCUUCUAGAACUGUUACUAACUGUAAUUUCAUCCAUUUGUUAUGUGCUUUAGAAAUGGGACUGCUUUAUCUGGGAAACAAGAGGAAUGUUUUUGAAAAUAUAUUUUAAAAUAUUAUCACAUUUUAAUUUCAAAAAAAGUAAUUGAGAUUCAAACUGAAAUAAUAAAGCGUGGCCAUAAACAUACUGAUGCUAUUCCAGCAGCAAACUGUAAAAGCACAGAUUAGCAUAAAAUGCCAGACAGACAAAAAAGGACUCUAUAAUGUGUUGAGGUCCAACUAUUAGAUUUUCAUACUUCAAUGUUUAACCCUUGAAGUUUACUGUGCAUUUCCGCGCUUUUAGGUCAGCCAGUAGAUAACUUGUCAGUCAAAUUAUGCAGAGAUAGUUUCUUCCUACAGACAUUAUCAUUUCUAGGAGACUGAAAUUGUUCUGAGCCAGCCCUUUUGCUUGCAAUUCAGUAACAGCAGGCAACGGGCACAGAUUGUCCCUGUAAAAGAUUUACUUUAGGUCUAGAAAGAGAAUAACAAUCUGUAGUGUCAUAAUAUGUUUGGCAGAUUCUCAUUGUUACAGGCUAUGCUCAUUCCUAGGAGAGAAAUGAAGCAAGUGCAAAGGAGCAUGACUAUAUUUUGCAGUACUAAACAAAUGAUUCAGAUAUCAAAUCACUGUCAAACUUCUACUUUUUUUCCUUCCAUGAGCAUCCCUACACAGCCUUCAAAGACCAUGAAAUUCUCAAAAAUAUCAAACUCUAUGUAGACUUAAAAUUUAUUCUUUGGCUCACUUGGAAUUUUAUAUUUCAAACUCAAGAGAGACUGAAUGUAUUUAUAGACUUUCUUUCCUGUUUGUUUUUAAACAAAAGGUUAGGAAGCAAAUAUGAGCAUUUAUUGAAAAUUAAGGAUUUUCUCUAAAAAGAAUGUCAGUGGGAAUUUAACAGAAACAGGAAUCCUUUUAGAUAAAUCUCACUGGAAGUUUAAGACCACAUAUUUUGAACUUUUAAAAAACACCAAAGGAAGCAGCGAGAACUCUGAUUUUCUGCAAAUGUUUAGGCAAUUAGCACAGCACAGCCCAUUGGAGUAAAGCAAUAAACAGGAAAAUACAAUUCCUGAUUUCUGCUAUAGAAUCCAUUACACAGGCAGGUAAUUGUGGCUCCCUGCACCUCUGCCACUCAUUAUCUACCUUGCUGAUUAAGGCUGAGAUCAUCUGUACAAGAGCUGCCUUUCAUCAGAUGUGUAUAUAAUAUCCAGCACAACAAGGUGACAGUCUCUAGCAGAAUUAGGACGACUUCCGGUAUAAAUAAACCUUCAAUAAUACAGAGAAAAUAUAUAAAGGAUAAGAAUUUCUCCAUCUCUUCAUUUACCCAAGAAUUAAAUACAUAAAUAAAGAUUAAAAAUGUCCUCUUACCAUACGAGUACAGAUAUAUGUACAUUGUAUUAUAGCUCAAAAAUUAUCCUCUGAG